AGACUGCAAUAUGUAUAAGAGUGAGUGAGUGACCAUUAUUAACUAAACCGGUAUCAACCAAGUCCGGUCUAACCUAACCAAUCCAAACUGAUUAGUCACGGUUGUGUUCAAACAAAUUCCUAUACACUUAAACUAAACCGGUAUCGGACUGUCCUAAGCUAACCAAAUCGAUUACCAUGUUGGUUCCGGUUGUGUUAAACCGAAAUUGAAUGUAGUUUGCAAAACAUUACCUGCCGGUGAGAUAAUCAGGCGAUGCCAAACCGGGCAACCAUUCUCCUUUCUUAGCUUCAACCUUGAACGACGACGUUUUGGCCGAUGAACCGAUCGAUGUAAACGACAAGUCGCGGUUCAACCUACCGGAAGAACCGGUGAGGAAUCUUGGCUUUGAAGUACAAGGUCGGAAAAUCGAGGCCGAGGCAUGAGUAGUGACAGUAGCCAUUAUCCCUAGCUAGACUUAGAAGAUCCGACCCGAGAACCCGGCACUUGAAGAAGAAUGGAUUGGAAUCAAGAGAGAUUGAAAGAUGAGUUCAGAGAUGGUUGUGAAG
rnacentral:lncRNA from 1 species